rnacentral:lncRNA from 1 species
UUUUGCUACUCUUUGCAAGUAUUUGAACAUCUUUGGAAUACGAGUAGUUAGUGUUUUCUACACAGAGUAACUACCUUUGAAUUUAACGUACAUCCCUCAGUUCCAGGGUGAGGAAUCAUACAGUGCACAAAGACACCUUGCUCAUCAGCAGUACUAUAUAAGACAUACCUAGCUGUUUUUUUUUUCCCCCUCAGUGAUAAUUACAGGCAGAAUGUGUAUUUUUACAGUAUACCAGGUACAAUGUAUCAUAGAACUGAACCCACAAAACAGUUUUGUUCAGGAUUUUAGUCUGUAAGCAAGUUUACUUUAUUUUACCUUAGAGCCUGUAGAGCUGCCUCAGAAAGAGUCUUAUUACUGUUCAUUUUUGUGACCUGAUGGCUCAUGUAAGAGCAGCAGAGAACAAAAGGAGGGGGGCUCUGCAUAAAGGGAAAACACACCACUAUCAGGGCAGGGGCCAGCUCCCUUCCCUGAGAGGACAUCAGGUAAGCACAGCAGAUCCCUUCCAAUCCACACACAGUACCUGGUGAAACAGCCUGGGGCAGGUGCCAGCAUCAGCCAGGAGGCUCAGCAACCAGGAAGCCUACAGCAAAGAGACAGAGCUGAGACCACACCACUGCUUCUCUAGAGUAGGGAGAAAAAGCCUCCAGGCUGAGCUUAAAUGGAGCUCUGGGCCCUUGGGCAGGCUGCAGGUGGGGCUGGUCAGGGCUGUUAAGUCUCCUCAGUGCCCUUAGCAGUCUGGCAGCCAGACACAUGAAAAGAGAGCAUCAAGGGCAGGGAGAGCAGGCUGCCACAGGGGGACUGACAGUGACUGCCAGACAGGCAGGUUCCAUGUCCCUCAGAGGAGAGCCACGUGUAGCCAAGCUCAGCCAAGGCUCCGGAUGGCCAGGAAAGUCUGUGCAAAGAGGGGACAAGUGGCUAAACUACAUGAAGGAAAGUUCCUCAGCCCAGACAAGAAAUAGCAGGGAACAAACAACUUCUUCAGGGCCCUUGGCUCUCUUCAAAGCUCCAACUCUCCUUCACUCCUGGAGCCCUCCCAAAGGCACUGGCCCAGACCCUGACAAUGUUCAGCCCGGUCUUUUGUUCAAGAAGGAACAUCUGUGCCUGCCUUUGAAUAAAAGAUGGUGGCAUGCGAGUUGCCCCUUGACUGGAAGAAUCCUUGUCUUGGUGAAGAAGGCACGUAACCAAACGGCAAACAAGCCUGGGACGGUCCUUCGGCGCCGUCCGAGCACGGGCGCUCCUUCCCGUUACCGGGCUCGCUGCAUUGCUGCAUGCCCAGGAGGGGCUGACGAGGAGCAGCCCCCUGCCAUCCCCCCGCUGCCCCGGUCGGGCUGGCGCGGGCGGGCCGUGCCCAAACGACCCGCGCGUUUUCUACGGGCUCCGAGCGAGGGCAGCGGCUGCCUUCGGGCGUGGAAGCCUCUCUGCCGUCGGGCGCCGACCUGUUGCUGACUGUGGCCGCUCCCCGCGGGUCGCACCACCGGGACCCCGCGUCCCGGAGCACCGCGGUGCGCGCCGAGCCGCG